AACGGAAGAAGGCGCGAGUAGCAGCGGCGCAGCCAGGGCACCUGGGGGUGACACGAGAGUGGGCGGGCGGUCCAGGGAGCCCCUGCUGGAAACCAGACGCUAAAGCUUGCAGCUGUGCAGCUAGGGGAGCAUCUGUUUUCCACUUGAGAGCAACCCGGGCACGCGAGAACGGCCCGAUUUCGGUGCAGGGGUGCGUCCCGAAGGAACGGGGGACUGUUUCUGCGCGGACAGGCGAACCCGGCAGGGGAAACCGAGGCCACGCUAGGUCCGCAGCCCCGAGGUGUCCACAAGAGCUCCGCUCGCGCAAGGGCGCGGAGCGAGGCUGCCCGCGGGACCGGCCUGCGGAGCGAGCGGCUCCCAGCGGAAUUAGCACCACGCUCUUGUGGACGAUCUCCUGGAACAUUUUGGCAAUUGGAAUGGUGGAUCCAUCCCGGAUCAUAUCUGGUUCUGUUCCAAACACUGAGACAGGAAAAGAAGGCAUUUGAAUAGGGUAAGGACAAGAACACCCCCAGGAAGCUCCUCAAGGUCAGUGCCUCCUUU
rnacentral:lncRNA from 1 species